UACGGAGGAUCCGAGCGUUAUCCGGAUUUAUUGGGUUUAAAGGGUGCGCAGGCGGGAGAUUAAGUCGGCGGUGAAAUUUUGCAGCUCAACUGUAAAAGUGCCAUUGAUACUGGUUUUCUUGAGUGUGGAUGAAGUAGGCGGAAUUUGUGGUGUAGCGGUGAAAUGCAUAGAUAUUGCACGGAACACCAAUUGCGAAGGCAGCUUACUGGGCCAUUACUGACGCUCAGGCACGAAAGCGUGGGGAUCAAACAGGAUUAGAUA
rnacentral:rRNA from 1 species